UAUAGUUCAGGAUUAGAUUUACAACAAUAAGCAUUGAAGUAAAAGACGCAAGUUGCUUUAUCUGGUCCAUGUUGCUCUUUGGUAAGUACUUCUUGAGAUGAGUGGUUUUUGCUUUUUACUCUUCAAAAUCUGUGAUGCAAAAACUAAGGUUGUGUCUGUGUGAGGAUGUCCUUAUGAGAAUAGACACAACCUUCAAGAC
rnacentral:lncRNA from 1 species